AUGUAGCUCAGUGGUGGAGUACAUAUUUAGUAUCCAUGAGGACUUGGGUUCAAUCCCCAGCAU
rnacentral:tRNA from 1 species